UUCAGUCAUUCAAGCGACGUACGUUUUAAGUGCACUGCCUUAAAGCAAUGCUCUAGUUUAAGAAAAUGACACCAUUGAUUUAUUGAUCUAUACGUUUUUUUUUAUAUACCAUCGAACUUGCGUGUUGCCUGACAAUAGCUGGGUAGUCAGUUGAAAAAGCUCAAAAUGUGUAGCAAGUGGAGGCAGACUGUAUAGAUGUUGUGCAUUUCGUUCUGUGUCUGGAAGGAAACGAACAGACGUGAAAAUGUUUAAUGUUUUGAUACGAGUUCAAGGAGGAAGCUGCAAGUUGGCAUUGAUCUCAUGCCUUCUGGUGCUUUGCUGUGUUACACUAAUGAUAUACCUAGAACAAAGUGUGACAGAUUUCCUGCAAUCUAGUCUGGACUUGGCGUUGAGAAGUUUCAUUCCGCUCAAUACGCUCUUUCUUGUUGCAGUAAGGUUUAGAGAAAAGCCUAUAAAGCAAGAGGGAGCCCAUUAAAUAUCCCAGACAACUUCCAAAUCGGACAAUGCUUUAUGUGGUGGGUUGAUGUCUUACAAGGUUUCCCUGUCGAUACGUCUUUACUAUUACUUCAAGAAAACAAACUAGAAAUAAGGUCUCUUAAUAAGACCCACUGAUCGUGAUGACCCCUGGAGUUCACAGAGACUUAUUAGUAUAAAAAUAGAAAUGGAUAUGUGGAUUGGGUGCUGGGACAAGUCGCAAAAAGCCCGUGGAGUCUGGGAGGCGCCCUGGCCGCACUUCCCCGUGGUGGAGGCUGUCCAGGCCUGAGCAAGGUAUAACAACACGUUGCAGGACAAGCCACUGUCUUGUUGGCUCAUGUUUCUUAUGGCUAUGGCCGAAUUUUGAUUCACGGUGCCCCCGCUGCGGGGAAGAAGAGGACACUGUGUCUCAUAUUCUGUUUGACUGCCCCAGACUUGCUGAUUAUCGUCUUGACAGGUCUGGGAAACGAAAACUUCUCGACCUGUAUGGCGACUUGUAAGCACUACGCAAUACAGCAGGGUUUCUGUCCAGGGAUUUUACAAGACAGGAUUUGAACCUCUCCAGCCCUCACUAAAAUGGAGUUUGGUGAUGAAGAUGAUGAUGAUUAGUAUAUUUAGCUACGUAAAGCAGUCUUUCUAGUGUAGAAUGGGUGCUACAGUUCCUAGAUUGUGAAUCGGACUUAUAGCAGCUCUGAAUAACACGUUCGUAAGGAAUGGAUUUCAUCACCGCCCGAUCCGGACCGGGCUUAGGCAUAGGCAAAAUAGGCACAGGAUUAAAUGAAGUUUUAGAAAAAAAAUUCGAUCAGAUCUCAGACAUAGUAUUACUAGAGCACUGUGACUCUAUGUUUACUUGUUUAAUUUUGCCUCUACUAUGACUCUAUGUUUACUAGUCUAACUCUGUCUCUACUAUGACUAUGUUUACUAUUCUCUACUAAGGAAAUUGUGAAAUAUGAGUUUCAUGUAUUUGUCGAUUUAGAUAUAAACAGGCAGGUUUUUAAUACAUUGCGUAAUUUUCAUUUUUUCAA